CAGCAACUCUCUGAACAGAAAAGCAACCACUUUCUGAAAGAACAAAGCCACCAUGUUGUGAGAAACCCAAGCCCCAUGGGAGAGGCCAGAGCACCUGACAAUCUACAUCAACUGUCAGUCAUUUCCAUGGAAGGAAAUGAAUUGUCAUCUAGGCUGAUACCCUUUUCAGACUUCUGCAUCCUGUAAUUGUUUCUUGAGAGAAGGAAGAGUUGAAACUCUCAUGUUCAGAAUGCCCAUGGGAACACACUGCAGAUGUGAACUUCAACUGCUAGAUGUGUCAGAGCUGAAAAUGCCAUAAGCCACAAGCGGAAAUCCUUAAACUUUGAAAAAAAAGUAUGAGAGUUAUUUUGGAACAUGGGACAGUGCCUGAGUGAGGCAAGUUGCUGGUAUUAAGAUUGAUGUCUGAAAAAAAGCAAAAGCAGAGAGAAGUUCCAAAAAAAGGAAUGGGAGGACUUUGAAAGCAAACUUCAUCUAUUUGACAAUUUUAAUUAAAACUGAAUUUGUGGGGCACCUGGGUGGCUCAGUUGUUAAGCGUCUGCCUUUGGCUCAGGUCAUGAUCCCAGGGUCCUGGGAUUGAGCCCUGCAUCGAGCCC